UUAGGCACAUUCUGGGCUCUUUCUGGGCUUUAAUUUCCUCAUCAGCAAGGGACAUGGCUGGACUGUGUCAUUAUUCAGGAUCUUUUAUAUGUAAAUUUUAUAACUUUCAACCUCUUUGGAAAAGGUGUUAGAAUAAAUUCUGCUCUUGCAGUGUACAGAGAAGCCAGGACAAUGUGGAAAUUUGAUGCAUUUCCAAGAAAACUGAUGUGUGUCCAGACUUUGAGUGUCCUCUGGCUUCUUCAAGUUAGUGCAUAGACUGUCUCUGCAUGCUUCUUUCUGCGCUAGUUUAUUACAUUUAGUACAUUUGUAUUGUAUGAAAAGCAACAGCCCAGAUUAUUUGAUCCCCGUGUGUGUUAAUCUUUCCUUCCUGCCUCUCCCCUUUUUUUUUUGCGGCGGGGGGGGGGGGGGGCGGUUGGCCUUUCUUUGUUUUUGUUUUUUUUCCUAUGUUCCUGUCCCUUAUUUUUAAAACUCUCUUUUAGCAACAGGGAUAUCAUCACCACGCUGGUAUCCUCACAUGUGUGGGUUUUGCUGAGCUAGUAGAAAAUGAUCCAAAGAGGAUUGGUGACCAAAUGUCUGAUUGCAACAUUUCGUUUUCCUCUGUGGUACAUAGCUCCAGGCUGCCAGUCUCCUAUUUGUGGAUAAUCCCGUGGGCACUGGGUUCAGUUAUGUGAAUGGUAGUGGUGCCUAUGCCAAGGACCUGGCUAUGGUGGCUUCAGACAUGAUGGUUCUCCUGAAGACCUUCUUCAAUUGCCACAAAGAAUUCCAGACAGUUCCAUUCUACAUUUUCUCAGAGUCCUAUGGAGGAAAAAUGGCAGCUGGCAUUGGUCUAGAGCUUUAUAAGGCCAUUCAGCGAGGGACCAUCAAGUGCAACUUUGCGGGGGUUGCCUUGGGUGAUUCCUGGAUCUCCCCUGUUGAGAGAAGACAGUAGGUUUGUCUUUGGAAAGACAGAGGUAUGACAUACUUGAUUUGUACAUAUGUGGUUUCCUUUAGAUUCGGUGCUCUCCUGGGGACCUUACCUAUACAGCAUGGUAAGUAGAUACACAUCUGCGCCCUCUGGGCAAACAGCCCAGCAGAUCUCUUCUGGCUGUGACCCCAGGAAAAGAGAUGCUGGAUGAGUUUGCCUAUGUGGUUGACACUGCUUUUUAGGGACUAGUCAUCCAUAUAGAGUUGGAGACCCAAAGCAAGAGCUCGCCUCGGGGACAAAUUGAAAGAAAAUCAGCACACAUCACUUUUUUCCAGAUAUAAGAAACACAUUUUUCCAAUGCCCUAAAUUUUUAUUACAAAAAUUUUCAAAUAUGCAGAAAUGUUGAAAGAUCACGGUGAAUACCUACUUAACAAUUUGCUGUGUUUCAUCCAAUAAACAUGUGGCUUGUAACAAUACACUUUGAUAUGUAAGCUCCCGUUCUCCUUCCUUCCCCUCUUUCUCCUACCCCUCCCUAACUGCAGCAAUACCAGAUUGAUGUUCCCAAGUAAAGUGGGUCUUUUUGCUCUUGGUUUGCAUUCCAGUCUCUUCUCGAAGACAAAGGUCUGGCAGAGGUGUCUAAGGUUGCAGAGCAAGUACUGAAUGCCGUAAAUAAGGGGCUCUACAGAGAGGCCACAGAGCUGUGGGGGAAAGCAGAAAUGAUCAUUGAACAGAACACAGAUGGGGUGAACUUCUAUAACAUCUUAACUAAAAGCACUCCCACGUCUACAAUGGAGUCGAGUCUAGAAUUCACACAGAGCCACCUAGGUGAGUGAACCUUGAAGUUAUUAAAGUCCCUGCCUCAGCCUCCAUGC
rnacentral:sRNA from 1 species